AACGAACGCUGGCGGCAGGCCUAACACAUGCAAGUCGAGCGAAGCCUUCGGGCUUAGCGGCGGACGGGUGAGUAACGCGUGGGAACGUGCCCUUUGGUACGGAAUAGCCCCGGGAAACUGGGAGUAAUACCGUAUGUGGUCGAGAGACGAAAGAUUUACCGCCAAAGGAUCGGCCCGCGUUGGAUUAGGUAGUUGGUGGGGCAAUGGCCUACCAAGCCGACGAUCCAUAGCUGGUUUGAGAGGAUGAUCAGCCACACUGGGACUGAGACACGGCCCAGACUCCUACGGGAGGCAGCAGUGGGGAAUCUUAGACAAUGGGGGAAACCCUGAUCUAGCCAUGCCGCGUGAUCGAUGAAGGCCUUAGGGUUGUAAAGAUCUUUCAGUGGGGAAGAUAAUGACUGUACCCACAGAAGAAGCCCCGGCUAACUCCGUGCCAGCCGCCGCGGUAACAC
rnacentral:rRNA from 1 species